GCCAGGUGGAAAGUGUGGCCAGCCGUAGAGAAAUGCUUAUUUAAAUUCUCGAUUGUCAUGGAUUUAUUGGUGGUGACAGUGUUUCCUAGCCUCAGUGCAGUGGGCAGCUGAGAGGAGGUGCUCUUAUUCUCCAUGGACUUAACAGUGUCCCAAAACUUUUUGGAAUUAGUGCUGAAGGAUGCAAAUUUCUGUUUGAAAAAGCUAGCCUUUGCUUUCCUAACUGACUGUGUAUAUUGGUUCCUGACUUCCCUGAAAGUUGCAUAUCGCGGGGACUAUUCAAAGCUAGAGAUGGAUUUUUUAAAGUAGUAGCUCGAACUGUUUGGGCAUAGACUUGGAAAUUUCAGAAUGUUUGGUGUCCUUCCUAAACCAGGAUUCGGACACGGCAAGGACAUCAGGGUUGGCGGAGUCUGCUAAAGCAGUGAAUAAAGCAAACUUAGGGAGGAGGCUUCUGAUGUUAACAUGCAUGAACCCAAGGCAUUUCCGGUUACAGAAGUCAACAAAUGAGAGCGACUGGGGACACACAGGGCCUGGGUUAACCUCUACAUCACCAGAGGAACAGAGGAGUAGGAUAAGGGUACGGCUAAAGGAUAUAAGAACUGGUUGUCUAGUGCGUUCGGAACAGAAAGUGAAAGGAGCAGACUUCUGGGCGUGGUAGGAUAGAUUCAGGGCAUAAUGCAGAGACAAGAGCAUGGUAGGGUGCGAGUACAGUGGAGGUAAACCUAGGCAUUGAGUGACGAUGAGAGAGGCUGCAUUUCUGUAAGCGCCAGUUAAGCUUGGUGCGGUCUCCGCAUUAAAACAAAACAAUGAGCGCUACUCUAAACAACAGCAUACAAGGCAUAUUGACAUUAGAACCAUAAGGCAAUCACAGGUGUUGAUUGGUAAGGCUAAGACAACAACAGCUAAACAGAAAAGACAACAACAAUGGGUAAAUGGCGAUGAAUGGGCAGAGAGGGUCAGUUAGGUACACAUAGGGCCUGAGUUCGAGGCUGGGGCCGAUAGAUAAACAAAAUGAAGUACCGUGUUAAUGAACAGUCAAGUAGGCAUCAGCUGUGUAGCCGAGUGAUCAUGGGGUCCAAUAAGCAGCAAUGGAUGAAACAGGGAGCCG
rnacentral:lncRNA from 1 species